AUAAACUACACCGAAGUAAUUUCCCCCCCAAAUAUAUUAUUAUGAAUCUUCAGGGACAUGAUCUCCAGAUAGGAUCCCAGUCCUAGGAUGGUUUUCGGUUUUCCAGGAACAGGGCUCAAAAUAAUAAGCUCUUAUAAAUAUAUUAGUAAAUUAAUUGUUGUGGUCCACCAGCACUCUGCGGAGCUGGCAGCGGAGUCAAACAGUGAUGAGGCUGAGGAAGAACAUGGGCCAGUCCUGGAAGCUGGGGAAGGACCAGAUGAGGGCUCUACAUUGGAGGCAGAGAUGGGGCCAGGGCCAUCUGGGAGUGAUGUGUGGACUCCGGAGCCUCCAGAGGUUGGCAGUAGUGAGGCAGAGGAACAGGAGGAGCCUGUUCAUAAUGCACGCAUGAGAAGAGCUGCCAGAAGGCAAGAGCAGCUAAAGCAAAGAGGACAACUCGGGAGUAGGGCCAAGAGAUGAUUGGCUCCUUCCAUAAGGCUUAAAAAACCAGCAACGGCAUUUGGGAUCUUUGUCAGAAAACAACGUUGAUAGACUUACUCCUUGUCUUGCUGCAUUGAUUUCUUGUCGGUGUCUUCUGCUUUUGAACUUUUGCCAAGAAAAGUCUUUGGCAGUUUGCCUAAUUAGACCAAGUUCUGUCUCCAGAAAUAUAAGAGGUAUCAGAGAGACAAAGAACAAGAGAUGGAAGAGAUGAGAAAAAAACAUCAGGAAAAGAUUGCAGAGAAAAAUGCCAUAAUAAGAGAGCUGGAGGAGGAGAAUAAAUUCUUCGAAAGUGAAAUCAAAAAUCUUGUGGAAAAAAACAAUUACUUGAAGGAGAAACUCCUCCAAAAUCAAGGAAUGAAUACGUCAACUUGAAAGACAACCUGCAGUCCUUUUUUGAGACUCCCUCCGCUCUUUGAUUAACCCAAUCUGGAACAACCAGAAGUGGCUAAAUUGCUGUGGCUAAGAAAUGCUUUCACAUGUCAUUGCCCUUUACACCUCUUCACUUAACAACAGCAAUGGCAAUCGGCCCCAAUUUAGUCCCAAUUGAAGUCAUAACAUGAUGACAACCUUUAUCAUGAAUAUUCUCCAUCAAAUAUGCUCCUGAAGCUCCUUCUAUGAUCAGGGCCUUGACAAGGCGAAGGGGCUCAUGUGGUAAAUGAAAUCAUGGGCUAUGUCAUCGGACAUGUAUGUGUCCAGACGGGCCACCCCAGGUGAACAGGCCAUGAUGGAUACCCCAGACUCACGGCGAUCUGCCAACCUGCAUUGAACUAGCGUGGCAGAUUACAGCUUAUUCCUCAAACAUGUCAAUACAACUUCAGAAAUGCUUCUCAUUUCCCAGAGGCCCUAAGGAAACUACCCACAGCAGCAGGAAGACCUGUCUGAUGGCAGAAUGGAUGCUAAGGAUCACUGGGCUAAAUCAGGCAACCAAAAGUUGAAAGACUCCAUAGUAAAAUUUGAACAUAUAUCGGACAUAGUAGCCCAAUGCAUCAUUCAAUUGAACAAAAAAUAUAAACUUCAAAUCAUCCACACUUAUGCGCCAAUAAUAAGCUGUAGUGACGAUGAGGUCGAAGAGUUUUUCAAUGCUGUGGCCCGGCUUCAAGACAAAGAAAAAUGCCAAUACAAAAUACUAAUGGGUGCUUUAAUGCACGAAUAGGAAGAACAACAACUGGAGAAAUGCAAUUUCCCCUUAUGGAAAUGAUGAAUGAGAUAAUAGACAGAGCUUUAUAUCAUGAACUCUUUUUAUAAGAAAAAAGCUAGCAGAAAAUGGUCAUGGAAGAGUCAUCUGGGUAGACAAGUGAAAUUGAGUGCAUCAUGUCAAGUGAUAAAAACACAUUCUGCAAUUGUACUGUCAUCAAUCGCUUCACAUUGAAAGUGACCAUAGAAUUGUACGAAUUCUAUGACGAAAACAGUAUAUGAAAAUGAUAUAGACGUCACAAAAAAUAAAAAUAAAGAGUAAUCAGCUGUCAGAGAAACGCAGCAAUUUUGAGAUUAAUUUAUGAAAUUGCUUUAUUCUAUUGCAAAAUUUGGAAAAGAUAAACAUUAUGGACGAAAAUGAAGAAAUAGCCCAAAGUGUCCUGAAUCUGCUAUAUCUAUAGCACUGCUGGAAAAAGACUUUGUACAAUCUAAAAUCUCUAGUGAAAUUAUUGAUUUAAUGAAAAAAAAAGACAGAUAAUGAAGAAUACUGCAAGUUUCACUAAUAAACUGGAGCACUUUGAACUUUGCAAGACCCUAAGAAAACGUAUCCAAGUAGAAACACAUCAGCAGUCAACAUGCAGCUUAUGGGGAAAAAAGGGAUUAAUAAAGCAAAAUGCAAGCUUACAAAUAUUAUGAAGAAGGCUUUUGCAUUAAAACGUGAAGAUGGUUCUGUGUGUAGAACAAGACAAGAGAUGUUAGAAAUAAUUGGAGAAUUCUAUUCAGAGCCAUACAACGUUCAAGAUCAUUGAAAAGUAACAACACCCACAAAAGAGGAAAUGCCAGCUAUCCUAGUAGAGGCGGUAUCAAGUGCCAUAAAAUCAAUGAAUAAUGGCAAAACUUCAGGAAAUGACUAUAUUACAGUUGAAAUGUUGAAAGCUGGUGGCCACAGUUUACACAAGCUGCUAGCAAAACUGUAAUCGAGAUGCCUCAGGGAAGAAAAGAUACCUGAUGCAUGGAGAAAUGCUGAAGUCAUUCUUAUACACAAGAAAAGGGCCCAAGAUUAUUUUUAAAACUAUUGCUUAAUAAGCCUUCUUUCAGCUAUCUACAAGAUUUUCACCAUGAUAAUAGCCAUGAUAAUAGAACGUUAAAUGAUGCACAGCCAAAGGAGCCAACAGGGUUCAGUAGUGGUUACACCACAAUGAAUCUCCGGCAAAUACCACCUCUGGCUGGCCCCAGAGUGGGGUUGGAAUGGAGAUUUUGCAGCAUCCUUCCCCUGCCACACUCACCAAGCCACACCCACCAAGCCACACCACGCCCACCAGGCCACGCCCACAGAAUCAGUAAAUAAAUUUGGAUUUCACUACUGGAAAUACCAUCUUGAUACAAGGAAGAUUAUGGUACCACUGGAAAUAACAAAGCAGUAAAUAACACUAUAGCCAAAAAGAUCAGCAGAUACAAAGCUCAAAUUGCAAAUUAUAGUCAAACUUCCUAUUCCAACCAGAAACGUUUCUACCAGUGGUGGGUUUUAAAAAUUUUUACUACCGGUUCUGUGGGUAUGUCUUGGUGGGCGUGGCAGGGGAAGGAUACUGUAAAAACUCCAUUUCCUCCCAAUCAGCUGGGACUUGGGAGGCAGAGAAUAGAUGGGGGUGGGGCCAGUCAGAAUUUUUACUACUGGUUCUCCAAACUACUCAAAAUUUCCACUACCGGCUCUCCAGAACUGGUCAGAACCUGCUGAAACCCACCUCUGGUUUCUACCAAUCCAUCAAUGGAGAGACUGGAGUGAAUCAAUCAGUAUCUGACAAAGAAGAAACAGUGCAGUUCUGGGUGCAGAUAUAGGAUAACCCAAAGAAGUACAACAAGGAUGCAGCUUGGUUAAAGGAGGUGAAUAAAAAAAAUUAAAAGUUCAAAUGAAAGAACUUGUAAUAACAGCAGAAAUGAUAGAGAAAAGAGCAAGGAAGAUCGAGAAUUAGCCAGCACCACAUUCAGAUGAACAGCAUGGUUUUUGGUUGAAACGUUUAAAAUAAAAUCUCUGUUCAACACUGUCCAUAUGUACAACCAAAAUAUUGCAAUGGAAUUUGGACUGGCUGAAUAUGCCAUGCUUACUAUGAAAUGGGAAAAAACAGUGAAAACUGACAAAAUCAAGAAAACCUAUGGAAUAAUAUCAAAUGUAUGGAUGAAAGCAAUCACUAUAAAUACCUGGUCAUCCUUCAAGCUGACAACAUCAAGUACAAUGAAGUAAAAAAAAAAGGUUAGAAAGGAUACAUCAAGUAAGUGAACAAGAUCUUAAAAUCCAAACUCAUGGAACACUUGGUUAACUAAGACUUGCACCAAGUGUCAAAAAUUAUUUUUAAAAGCUUCUUUCAACGUAUAAAAAUAAGAAAAAGGUCAAGGAACAGUCGUCUACUGGGAGAACAUGGCAAAGAGGAGAUGGGUUGCAGGGUGAAAGCAGAACUGUUUAAUUAUUUCUUUGCUUCUGUCUUUACACAAAAAGAAAAAAAAAUAGUCCAACUUAUCAAAAGCAGUAUUGUAAAAGACAAUAUAGGAUUAUAGGAUUGUCAAACUUGACAAGGAAAUGGUAAGAGAACACCCAUCAACUCUAGAUGUGUUCAGUUCACAGUCAGAUGAAUAAUGUCUUUCCCAUUAAAAAUAUGGCGAGAUAUGGCAAAAUAAUAGAUAUGAUUUACAGAUAAUAGAUAUGUGUAACAGAUUUACACAUACCAACUCAGUCAUCGCCUGAGUUAAAGGGACAGUGUUGGAGUUCCUCAACAUUUCAAGAAAAAUGGGCUUUAGGACUCACAGCUGCUGACUGAGUAACCAGGGCCAGCAGCCUUGCCAGAAAUAAAUCAAACUGUAAAGGCAAACCAGGCAGGAAAAGAAGGCAGCACAGCUAUUGAAUUAUUGCUGUUGUUUUUAAUCAGAAUUUUCAUACAGAUUUUUAAAAAUUGAGGAUUGAGGAUCAUUUUUCCCAACAAAGAGGUGAGACCUAUGAAGUGCAUGUGCAUUCCUGCUUAUCUAUCCAUGACUGCCUCAUUGAAUGAAGACGUACAAGGCAACAAAGCUGCUCACUCUGGAUUUUACUUUUUUUUUCUUUAUUAUGGUCACAGUUCAGCAAAGGAUUUGACUUUAGAGAAGUCCAGCUGUUUUUCAGACCAUCUAUAGUUGCUCUAAGAUCUGGCAACUCUACUGACUUUUCCGCAAGGAGAAGAAAACGACAGGAGAAAUAGCCCUUUCUGCUUUCCGACACCGAGUGAGAAUUUCUUAUUGACAAAUUGAUAUGCUACUUUGUGCUCACAAAGAGUGCUCAGGGCAACUGUUUAUACAAGUUAAAACUGAACUAAAAAUUGAAAACUCUAUGUAAUAAAAAAAACAGGAAAACAUUCAGGGCAUCUCUAAUUUCAUUACUGUUUAUUCCCCUCUGUCAAGUCUGCCCUAAUGUACAGCAAGCCGAAUCUUUAGUGUAAAUAAAAAGGUUGCGAACAUUAUUUCUCAUUUCCUCCCUCCUCUCCCCAAAAGGCAAGUAUUUCAUAAGAACUGAAUAGCUUCAUCUUAUCCAAUUGCUAGAAGUAAACCACAGUGGUAUUUACUGUAGUUGUUAAAUGAAAAAUAUACUUCUUUAAGGAAAAGUAAGAGCCACAUAGGACCUCUAUAAGUAUUGUAUCAGGGGUCGCAUGUCAAAGGUGGGACAAGGCCAAAAAGAUUUUUUUAAAGUCUAAAUUAAUUAUUUUAAAUUAGAUUAACAAUGAAUUAAUAAAUUACAUUGAUUCAGCUCCAUAAGGUAGUCCUCGACUUACGACCAUAAUGGAACCCAACAUUUGCAUUGCUCAUUCACAUGACCAUGGGGAUGUUGCAACACUCAUAAAUGUGAAAACUGGUCAUAAGUUACUUUUUUCAGUAUUGUAACUUCAAACAGUCGCUAAAUGGAAGUGGAGAACUACCAGUAUAUAAUACUUUUUUCUUCAUUUAUUGCCUGAAAACCAUUUGGAGGGGUACAUGAUUCUGGCCCUCAAAAGAUGCUCCAUAACUUAAUUUGCAAGAGGGCAGAGAAGAGCAACAAAGAUGAUUAGGCGACUGGAGGCUAAAACAUAUGAAGAACGAUUGCAGGAACUGGGUAUGUCUAGUUUAAUGAAAAGAAGAACGAGGGGUAACAUGAUAGCAGUGUUCCAAUAUCUCAGGGGCUCCCAAAGAGGGAGUCAAGCUAUUCUCCAAAGCACCUGGGGGCAGAACAAGAAGCAACGGGUGGAAACUAAUCAAGGAAAGAAGCAACCUAGAACUAAAGAAAGAUUUCCUGAGAGUUAGAACAAUUAAUCAGUGGAACAACUUGCCUCCAGAAGUUGUGAAUGCUCCAACACUGAAAGUUUUUAAAAAGAUGUUGGAUAACCAUUUGUCUGAAGUGGCGUAGGGUUUCCUGCCUAAGCAGGGGGUUGGACUAGAAGGCCUCCAAGGUCCCUUCCAACACUGUUAUUCUAUUCUAUUCUAUUCUAUUCUAUUAGCUUAGCUGUAACAACUAAUAAAGGAAUGAUUGUUUUUUUUAUUGUUUUUUUUCAUAACAUGACAUACAAAAGCAUAUAUUGAAAGGAAACAAUAGGACAGGAACGGUAGGCACUUUUGUGCACUUAUGCAUGCCCCUUAUAGUCCUCUUAGGAAUGGGGUGAGGUCAAUGGUAGACAGUUUUUGGUUAAAGCUUUUAGGAGUUGGAGAGGAGACCACAGAGUCAGGUAGUGUAUUCCAAGCAUUAACAACUCUGUUACUGAAGUCGUAUUUUCUGCAAUCAAGAUUGAAGCGGUUGACAUUAAAUUUGAAUCUAUUGUUUGCUCUUGUAUUAUUGCUAUUGAAGCUGAAGAAGUCUUUAACAGGAAGGACAUUGCAAUAGAUGAUUCUGUGUGUUAAACACAGGUCUUGUCGGAGUCGGAGGAGUUCUAAGUUUUCUAAUCCCAGGAUUUCAAGUCUGGUGGCAUAAGGUAUUUUGUUGUUUACAGAGGAGCGGAGAACUCUUCUUGUAAAAUAUUUUUGGACUCGUUCAAUUGUAUUAAUGUCAGAGAUGUGGUAUGGGUUCCAGACAGAUGAGCUGUAUUCAAGAAUGGGUCUGGCAAAUGUUUUGAAUGCUCUGGUUAGUAGUGUAGAGUUUUUGGAAAAGAAGCUACGCAGAAUUAGGUUUACAACUCUUAGAGCCUUUUUUGCUAUAUAGUUGCAGGCUUUGGCACUUAGAUCAUUUGAUAUGAAAACUCCAAGGUCCUUAACGGGGGGGGGGCAUCUGUAAGAUAAUGUUCAUUAAGCUUGUACUUAGUGUUUGGGUUCUUUUUUCCAAUAUGUAAGACAGCAUUUGCUGGUUGAGAUUUGGAGUUGCCAAGUUUUAGACCAAUCGGAUACAAAAUCAAGGUCUUUUUGAAGGGUAAUACUAUUGUUGGUGGUGUUAAAUAGUUUGACAUCGUCAGCAAAGAGAACACAAUAACUUGAGAUAUGGUCACAGAGAUCAUUUAUGUAUAGUAUGAAUAGCGUUGGUCCAAGAACGCUACCUUGAGGAACGCCACUUUUGACAGGGACAGGAUUUGAUAGAGCAUUGCCAAUUUUGACCAUUUGUUGUCUGUUUGAAAGGAAAGCGGUUAUCCAAUUGUGAAGAGGUCCUGAAAUGCCGUAGGAUUUUAGUUUUAGGAGAAGUUUAUCGUGUACUACUGAGUCGAAAGCUUUGCAGAAGUCUAUGUAGAUUGCAUCUAUUGCUUUGCCUUGAUCAAGAUUAGUAGUCCAUAUGUUUUUGCAGUGGAGAAGUUGUAAAUUACAUGAUAAUUUUUUUCUGAAACUAAAUUGUUUAUUAGAGAGUAGGUUGUUUGUUUCUAGGUAGAGGGUAAUGGAUUGGUUGAUGAUAGAUUCCAUUACUUUGCAGGUGACCCAGCAUAGAGAGAUUGGUCUGUAAUUUUCAACUAGACUGGGAACUCCUUUUUUGAAGAUAGGCUGUAUGGGGCAUUUUAGGUCUCUGUUAAAUUAAAGCCCAGAGCCUCUCAAGGAUCAUUUCUACAAUAGUGAUUUUUAGUGCCUUAUACAAUCACUCAGCCCUCACAGAGGUAAUAUAAAGCCAGCUUUUUUGGUUGAUAUAUUGUCAGAAUGACAACUAGCUAUACGGUGCUGUAAGUUACAAGUGUAAAAAUUGCUAAAGCCCAACAUAUAAAACCAGUUACAUAAACUGAUUUUACAUCAAAGGUGUCAAUGGCUGAUCUUUUCUUGGGAAUAAAUUAGUAUUAAAAUAACUCAAAAUCUGAUGUCUCAAUGACAAGGUUGUUUGUUUGUUUUUUGUCUCAAACAUCAAAUGUUCAGGGGGGAUGAUAAAGAGAACAUUCAUUUGUACAGACGCUAGAGCUAAAUGUAAAUAUGGAUAUAAUUAUUUCAAGUUUUCAUCAAGUCUUCUGCCUUGUUCCACCACUACCUCAAAAACUAAUAUGGAAUUCAACUUCAUGAACUUCAAAUUGUCAGGAAGUCUUUUUUGGCAAUGGGAGACAGGAAAAGCAGCUAAUAUAUAAACUGAAGAGUCAAGCUAUUCUAGGAUCAUCUGGUCUAUGUCUGUCUACCUAAAUCUGUUAGCAUACAUGUUGGAAUGUAUUUUGUAUUGCAACAACUACAGCCAACCAGUAGAUGGCAGUGUUUUUAUGUUUGCAUCUAUGGUUAUACUCUAUGUCCUUUUUUGUUCUGAGGAAAGUUUUCUGUUACAGUUAAAACCGUUAAGGACCAAGGCCUGCGGUGACUGGACACUUUAUUUCG